rnacentral:tRNA from 1 species
UGGGUUGUAGUUCAGUGGUAGAGCACAUGCCUACCAUGUGUGAGGCACUGGGUUUGAUCCUCAGCACCACAU